rnacentral:rRNA from 1 species
UAUUGGACAAUGGGGGCAACCCUGAUCCAGCGAUGCCGCGUGUGUGAAGAAGGCCUGAGGGUUGUAAAGCACUCUCGGUGGGGAGGAGAGGUAUGGUGUUAACAGCAUGAUACUGAGACGUUACCCACAUAAGAAGCACCGGCUAACUCCGUGCCAGCAGCCGCGGUAAUACGGAGGGUGCAAGCGUUAAUCGGAAUGACUGGGCGUAAAGGGUGCGUAGGCGGUUUAAUAAGUUAAGUGUAAAGCCCCGGGCUAACCUGGGAGGUCAUUAAGACUGUAGCUUAGACAAGGAGGGAGUGAAUUUCCGGUGAGCGGUAAAUGCGAAGUCGAAGAACACCAGUGGAAGCGGUCCUGCUUGUCUGCGUGGACAG